rnacentral:lncRNA from 1 species
AAGAGGGUGAAUUGGACAGCUUUACAGAUGCCUCAUGUUAGGAAAUUUUCCUGGAUUUGAGUCUUCAAUGUGGGAGCAGAGUUACCUGAAUAUAUGGAGUUGAUGGAGACAUUCCUUGAUGAGAAGCAGAAAUUCCCCAGGGACCUUGUAAAUCUGAAGCAGAUAAAGGGAAAUGAAGAAACCAAGUUUUACAACUUUGAUGAGUGGCAAAAUUUGUCAAUAAGAGCUAGAUAUUAAGUAAUUAGCUUUUAGGAAGCAAAGUGUAUUGGACUUGGCUAUGAUAUGAAGGAAUUCAUUUAAUAAAUCAAAACGAAAACAAAAACAACAAAAACAAAGAAGCGAAGCAUGAAUCUCCUAAUCAGCAGAAAAGGGAGGACAGCCGGAGACAAUCGUAUUCCUGAUCGAUACUGAUGUAAACUUGUGCUGGAACAGCAACAGAUGACUUUCUGCAAAGGCACUGAUAAUAGCUAUGAGGAAUAAAUAUUGCAGAUGGAUUAAAUCAAAGAAUCAAAUUUCAAAGCCAAAUUAGUCGUGAAAAGGAGGGAGAAGCAGAAAUGAAGAAAAAAGAACCACAGAAGUAAAAUCAGCAGCAUUGAAAAGAAAAUCAUCUGCUGUUUGAAUAAAGACCCAAGAUCUUUCAUUGUUGGAUCCCCAAAGCCAGUGCCUUUUUUGAGCAGCAAGUCCCAAGAUCAAGAAAUCAGAAGGAACUAAUACUUUAACUAAUUAGUAGUAAUGAAAAUUUACUAGACAUCAAUGACAAAUUUACAAGGCAAAUUUAUUUCCAAAGUACAUUCAUAUAUAUCACAGGUAAAAUGAGGUUUUCACAAACACCAUUUUAAACAUAGGGUUUAUUUGCAGGAGCUAUUUUUGUGGCUUAGGGAACAAAUGGUUCAUUGAAACAGAACUUUGCUGGUCUGGUUUCAAAGAAUUCUAUUAUAUAAAAGAUUCUGUAGAACAGAUGGGAUCAAAAGUCCCUGAACACAGAACAGGAAUAUCAGGUAAUGAAAAUGUUCUUUUGGUAUAGUAUUAUGUUUUAUGCUUUGAAAGUAUUAGUAUGCAAGGAACUCAGGCAAGAGCAUAAAAGAGGAAGUAGGAAUAAUACUUUAUGUUUGAAUAGGCUUUAGACUUUCCAAAAUACUUACAUCCUACUGAAGCUUGGUAGCAAGUAUUAUCCUUGUUUUAUUGAUGAAAAACAUGCUUCCAAGAAAGAUGCAUUACAAGCGACAGAAAACUCAAAGUGGAUUACACAGUAAAAGGUAUCUGUCUCUCUGUCUGUCUCUGUCUCUGUGUUUUGGCUCACAGAAUUGAAAAGUUCAGGACUAGAGUGAGCUUUCAAUGUGCCUUGAAAGAGAUGUUCGAUUGAUACCAUCAGGGCCCAGAUUCCCUUGACAUCUCUUAGUUCUGUUUUCCUAGUAUGUGGUUAACUCUGAUUAGCCAGGAUGGAGACAAUAACUCCUGAGCUAAAUAUGUGGAGUGGGGCAAGGAUGGCCCUCUACAGGCGAAGGUGGGGGUGCAUUUUAAUAUGAGUAUGGGGGAAAGGAUCAGAUCUGGGCUAGAUCUGAUAUUCAAGAGGUGUAAACAGAUGACCAACAAGAUGUUAACAAGAUGACACGAUUAGAAAGAUUUUAAUCAAGCCUAGAACCCAGCUCCUCUGAAUCCUGGCAAAACAUAGGUAGGAACAAAACUGGGAAACAAGACAAGGGAUGUCCCAGGAGCUGAUGUUUCAGUAAGAGCAUAGUUGAGAAGAGACAGAAGAAAACAAUAGUUAACAGAGGUAGGUGGAUUUAGAAAGAAGGCUUUACUUUGAACAAGACUUGAUCCCAGUUGAGACUUUGCUGAAGGAAUCCCUAAUAGACAGACCUGAGCCACCUCCUUCCUUUGUCAUAUAUAUGUAUCUCAUAGGCAUCUUACAAAUAUGAUGACUGCUCUAUAAAUAACCGAGAAAUCUUAGUUUCUGGAUCUUACCCUGGCCCAACUCCAAAUUAUCUUCUUUGGUUUUAGCUGGAUCUUUAGGAAGACUGGUCUGCCUAAUUUUGUUGCAUCUCAUUGUGCCCUAUUUGCCAGGCCGCUUUGAUAAGGAGAUCUUCAUAUAAUUCCUUUCUGUGUUGCUGCCCUGUCUUCCAUGUUUAGAGUUCGAAUCCUCCUUUUCUAAUAGCUGAAACACACCCAGAUCAAAAUAAGCUUCAUUAAGGCGGCAUUCUACAAAGACAGUGGUUCUCCAAUGGUGGUCCUCAGAUUACCUGC